GUACUGGAGUGGGUUGCCAUUUCAAUUGGAAAAAUACAGAGAUUAGCAGGGCCCCUGCACCAGGAUAACACACAAAGUCAUGAAGCGUCCCAUAUGUUU
ensembl:snRNA U6 U6 spliceosomal RNA